rnacentral:lncRNA from 1 species
CUGAUUUGGGCAGGACUCCAGGUCCUGUCCAGGUAAUUCAGAUGGAUAGGGGGUGUAAAGGGAGGCCAUACCCUUUGCUUCUCCAAAUGGAUUUGAUUAGGCUGAGGAAGAAGAGGAGGCCAUAUUGGAAUGCCUGCUUGUGAAGACUGCUCGGGAGAGGAUCCAAUAAAAAUCCAUUUGUGACCAAACUCACAAUCAAACCUUUGAAAGUAAUGAUGAAAGCCACCCUUCUUCCCCCCACUCACCUGCUGCAUCUUUUAACACGGCAGCACCGAGGCGGUAGUGUUGGGCCGUGAAGGGGUCAGACCUGAGUGGGAAUCCCGGAUUUGCCGUUUCCUGGUGUGUGGCCUCGGGCAACUGCCAGCCUCUCUCCGCCUGCCUUCUCACCUCAGGACAGGGAUGAUAACAGUACACACCUCACCGCAGAGUGGAGAGGCUUUGAGAAGACCAUCUGUGUGCAGUGCAUGGUGCAGUGUUGGCCACAGAGUAAACUCCUUGACCCAGCAUUUCCUUCCUGGGAAGGUUCUAUUUUUACUGAUCACCUUCUUGGCGGACACAUGAAGCCACACAAUGUUCCUGGCAAGUGCCGGCCUCAGAGUGCCAUCAGCC